rnacentral:sRNA from 1 species
UUACAUGUUUGCCUAUUAUUUCCGCCGUU